rnacentral:rRNA from 1 species
CAGUAGCCGCGGUAAUACGAAGGGUGCAAGCGUUAAUCGGAAUUAUUGGGCGUAAAGCGUGCGUAGGCGGUGAGUUAAGUCUGCUGUGAAAUCCCCGGGCUCAACCUGGGAAUGGCAGUGGAUACUGGCUCGCUAGAGUGUGUCAGAGGAUGGUGGAAUUCCCGGUGUAGCGGUGAAAUGCGUAGAGAUCGGGAGGAACAUCAGUGGCGAAGGCGGCCAUCCGGGACAACACUGACGCUGAGGCACGAAAGCGUGGGGAGCAAACAGGAUUAGAUACCCCCGUAGUCCCUGUCUCUUAUAC